GACGUAGGGCGCGAGCGUUGUCCGGAUUUAUUGGGCGUAAAGAGCUCGUAGGCGGCUUGUCGCGUCGUCCGUGAAAACUUGGGGCUCAACCCCAAGCUUGCGGUCGAUACGGGCAGGCUCGAGUUCGGUAGGGGAGACUGGAAUUCCUGGUGUAGCGGUGAAAUGCGCAGAUAUCAGGAGGAACACCGGUGGCGAAGGCGGGUCUCUGGGCCGAUACUGACACUGAGGAGCGAAAGCGUGGGGAGCGAACAGG
rnacentral:rRNA from 1 species